rnacentral:rRNA from 1 species
GUGGAGCCGCAGGGAAACCAAGCCUAAAUAGGGCCAAAGUCAGCACAGGCAGACCCGAAACCGGGUGAUCUACCCAUGUCCAGGAUGAAGCGGGAGUAAAAUCCCGUGGAGGUCCGAACGCACAUCCGUUGAAAAGGGUGGCGAUGAGGUGUGGGUAGGGGAGAAAUUCCAAUCGAACCCGGAGAUAGCUGGUUCUCCUCGAAAUAGCUUUAGGGCUAGCCUCGGUGCAAUCUGCUGGAGGUAGGGCACUGAAUUCCCGCGGGGGCGUCAAAGCCUACCAAAGGAUAUCAAACUGCGAAUGCCAGACAGAUGGUCACCGGGAGUCAGACCACACGAGAUAAGUUGGGUGGUCAAAAGGGAAAGAGCCCAGACCUGCAGCUAAGGUCCCAAAGUGCGUGUUAAGUGGAAAAGGAUGUGGGAUCUCGAAGACAACUAGGAUGUUGGCUCAGAAGCAGCCAUACAUUCAAAGAGUGCGUAAUAGCUCACUAGUCGAGAGGUCCUGCGCCGAAAAUGAACCGGGGCUAAACACGACACCGAAGCUCAGGAAUCCGAAAGGAUUGGUAGAGGAGCAUUGCUGAAGCGACGAAGCAGUACCGAAAGGAGCUGUGGAGUUUCAGGAAGAGAGAAUGCCGGAAUGAGUAGCGAGAGAAAGGUGAGAAUCCUUUCGGCCGAAUAUCCAAGGUUUCCAGGGUAAAGCUGAUCUGCCCUGGGUAAGUCGGGGCCUAAGGCGAGGCAGAAAUGCGUAGUCGAUGGACAGCAGGUUGAGAUUCCUGCACCCGUAAUGAACAGAACUGUAGUGACACGGAAGGUAAGACAGAGCCGGGAAUGAGAAAACCGGUGCAAGCACAAUAGAUGUGCGGGAGGAAAAACCCCCGUAUAAGUCGAAGGUGUGAUGCGGACCGAAAAAGAGUAGGGAAGCUGUUAAGCAAGCCGUCAAGAAAAGCUGCUAUUGUUUCAUUAUGGCCCGUACCGUAAACCGACACAGGUGGAUGGGGAGAGAAUCCUAAGGCCGGCGGAAGAAGUAUUGUUAAGGAACUCGGCAAAAUGACCCCGUAACUUCGGGAGAAGGGGUGCCUGCGAGAGCAGGCCGCAGAGAAGAGGCCCAAGCAACUGUUUAGCAAAAACACAGGUCUAUGCAAAACCGAAAGGUGAGGUAUAUGGGCUGACGCCUGCCCGGUGCUGGAAGGUUAAGGGGAGUGGUCAGGAAACGAAGCCACGAACUUAAGCCCCAGUAAACGGCGGCCGUAACUAUAACGGUCCUAAGGUAGCGAAAUUCCUUGUCGGGUAAGUUCCGACCCGCACGAAAGGCGUAAUGAUUUGGGCGCUGUCUCGACAAUACAUCCGGUGAAAUUGAAGUGCCAGUGAAGAUGCUGGCUACCUGCGCCAGGACGGAAAGACCCCAUGGAGCUUUACUCCAGCUUGAUACUGGGACCCGGUAUUGCAUGUACAGGAUAGGUGGGAGGCUAGGAAAUGUGGACGCCAGUCUGCAUGGAGCCGCUGUUGGGAUACCACCCUUGUGGUGCUGGGUUUCUAACCAGAGGCCGUGAACCGGUC